rnacentral:rRNA from 1 species
AUACGUAGGGUGCAAGCGUUAAUCGGAAUUACUGGGCGUAAAGCGUGCGCAGGCGGUUUUGUAAGACAGAGGUGAAAUCCCCGGGCUCAAACUGGGAACUGCCUUUGUGACUGCAAGGCUAGAGUACGGCAGAGGGGGAUGGAAUUCCGCGUGUAGCAGUGAAAUGCGUAGAUAUGCGGAGGAGCACCGAUGGCGGAGGCAAUCCCCUGGGCCUGUACUGACGCUCAUGCGCGAAAGCGUGGGGAGCAAACAGGAUUAGAUACCCUGGUAGUCCACGCCCUAAACGAUGUCAACUGGUUGUUGGGUCUUCAUUGACUCAGUAACGAAGCUAACGCGUGAAGUUGACCGCCUGGGGAGUACGGCCGCAAGGUUGAAACUCAAAUGAAUUGACGGGG